CCUACGGGUGGCAGCAGUGAGGAAUAUUGGUCAAUGGACGAGAGUCUGAACCAGCCAAGUAGCGUGAAGGAUGACUGCCCUAUGGGUUGUAAACUUCUUUUAUAAAGGAAUAAAACGAGGCACGUGUGCCUUUUUGCAUGUACUUUAUGAAUAAGCAUCGGCUAACUCCGUGCCAGCAGCCGCGGUAAUACGGGGGAUGCAAGCGUUAUCCGGAUUUAUUGGGUUUAAAGGGAGCGUAGGUUGGGAGGUAAGUCAGCGGUGAAAUGCUCCCGCUCAACGGGUUGAAGUGCCAUUGAUACUGCCUGUCUUGAGUGCGGAUGCGGUAGGAGGAAUGUGUGGUGUAGCGGUGAAAUGCUUAGAUAUCACGCAGAACACCGAUUGCGAAGGCAUCUCACGAAUCCGCGAUUGACGCUGAUGCACGAAAGCGUGGGUAUCAAACAGGAUUAGAUACCCGGGUAGUC
rnacentral:rRNA from 1 species